AACCUUUACACUGCACGUCAGUGCGAUAAGGGAACUCCGAGUGCGAGGGCAUAGAGCCCUCGCUUUUCUGCACCGUAAGGUGAUGCAGGAAGAAGGGCUGGGCAAGACCGGUGCCAGCCGCCGCGGUAAUACCGGCAGCCCAAGUGAUGGCCGAUAUUAUUGGGCCUAAAGCGUCCGUAGCCGGCCGGACAAGUCCGUUGGGAAAUCCGCACGCUUAACGUGCGGGCGUCCAGCGGAAACUGUCCGGCUUGGGACCGGAAGACCCGAGGGGUACGUCCGGGGUAGGAGUGAAAUCCUGUAAUCCCGGACGGACCACCUGUGGCGAAAGCGCCUCGGGAAGACGGAUCCGACGGUGAGGGACGAAAGCCAGGGUCUCGAACCGGAUUAGAUACCCGGGUAGUCCUGGCCGUAAACGAUGCCCGCUAGGUGUGACGCAGGCUACGAGCCUGCGCUGUGCCGUAGGGAAGCCGUGAAGCGGGCCGCCUGGGAAGUACGUCCGCAAGGAUGAAACUUAAAGGAAUUGGCGGGGGAGCAC
rnacentral:rRNA from 1 species